UACGUAGGGUGCGAGCGUUGUCCGGAAUUAUUGGGCGUAAAGGGCUCGUAGGCGGUCUGUCACGUCGGGAGUGAAAACACGGGGCUUAACCCCGUGCCUGCUUCCGAUACGGGCAGACUAGAGGUAUGCAGGGGAGAACGGAAUUCCUGGUGUAGCGGUGAAAUGCGCAGAUAUCAGGAGGAACACCGAUUGCGAAGGCAGCUCGCUGGGACGUUACUGACGCUGAGACGCGAAAGCGUGGGGAGCAAACAGG
rnacentral:rRNA from 1 species